UUUCAACGUCGGUUGAUAUAGCCAAGAUGUCUUAAAAUAUUGUAGAAAAUAAGAAGAAAUAUUCCAUUGUCUAAAGAUUCAGACAAUAAUUUUAAAUGUAAGUGUUCAACUAUGUCAAUAUUUUUAAGUUUCGUAUGUAAAUAUGUGCCAUAAAUAGUUAUAUAUUCAAGUAUAUUUUAACCGCCCUUGCCGUUGGCCGCAUUGUAUUUUGUAUUUGGUUCAACAAUAUAUUGUUAUUAAAAUACAUUAAAACUUGGUGAUAUUGCUUUGUAUUGACAGGUUAUAAUUUCAAGCAAUAAAUACUGUCAUAGUAUGUGUUCCAAGCAAGUCGAACUGUCGAAAUCAUGAUAUAUACAGGCUACAAGAAGGUAUGAAAUAUACAAUUAUACAGUAGAUAACGCAAAGGCCCACAAAGGAAGGAUAUUGCUCCCUCAUACAAAGCCAUCAUGGAACUUGCUUUGGCGAUUAUAUAAAUAUUAGCUAAAUGAGUUAAUAUUGAUACCCUUUCAAUAGUGAUCAAUACAUCAAUACAUUAAAAUUAACAAUAUAAACAUUUAUUACCUCCGCCAGGAGGUUAUGUAAUCAUCUGGGUUUGUAUGUGUGUGUAUGUGUAUCUCCGCCAGGAGGUUAUGUAAUCAUCUGGGUUUGUAUGUGUGUGUAUGUGUAUUUAUGUAAUCAUCUGGGUUUGUAUGUGUGUGUAUGUGUAUGUGUAUGUGUAUGUGUAUGUGUAUGUGUAUGUGUAUGUGUAUGUGUAUGUGUGUGUGUGUGUGUGUGUGUGUGUGUGUGUGUGUGUGUGUGUGUGUAUGUGUGUGUGUUUGUCUGUGAGCACGAGUUUGUCUGUGAGCACGAUAACUCAAGAAAUACCAAACAUAUUCAUACGAAGUUUUUUGAAUGCAUUUCCCAUCGGCUAAGGAAGAACUGAUUAACAUUUGGUUGAAUUUGGUUAAAAAUUGAAUGAGAAAUAACAAAAGUUUGUCUUGCUUUUCCCGGUCAAUUAAAUAAAACUUUAUACUGAAUGCGUAAUUAGGACGUGCAUAAUAUAUGCACCAGCCAUUCAAAUUCUAAUAAUAACAAUAGAUUACUUCAAUAGUUUGCGCGUAGGCGGAGGUAUGCAGUCUCUGAGUGCCCUCUAGUAUAUUUGUUAAUGUAUUGAUCUAUUGAGCGGAUAUCAAUGCUGGCUCAAUAGCUAUUAAUAUUGAUAUAAUCUCCAAAGCAAGUUCUAUGGCUUUGUAUUAGGCCCUGUUUACAUGAGACCACAACAAAGUCAAACCGGGACCAUUUCGUUUCACUCAUAGUAUUAUCUAUAAUAGAUGUCUACAUGAGACCGGGAUGAAAAUAACUCAGACCGGUCUCAAAUCAUUCUGCCUGCUGGACCGAGCCGCGACUGACUUCAGACCGGCAUGAAUUCAGACCGGGAUGAAUGUAAACACAAAUACAUUUCAGACUGGUCUUGGCUGUAACCUUGACAUUGGAACAACACAUGCUAACAAAAGCCAUCUGAACAAGAAAAUUGCCUGGCAAGGGGAAUAAAUUGAAAAUGUUGUGAUUUUUCUAAUGCUCUCAUGUAAACAUAUAACACUUUUUGUUUGUGGAAACACCACGUACAUUUAUUACUGCAAAGCACAAAGAACUCAUGUAAACAUGUUGACAAUUUCAAUUUUUCUUCCAGUUUAACUUCGUCCAGGUUUCAUGUAAACGGGACCUAAGAGCAGAACAAUCCUUCCUUUGUCUUAUCUAUAUUGUGCUAUCAUAGUAAAUAGCUACAUUUCUAUAAAUAUAAUAUUCAGACAACCCAGGUUGAAUGUUCCUAAAUUCCCUGAAUACAUUGAGGAUACAUGUUUGAGUCCUCAUACUGUUAAUUAUAUGCCUGUGAGAAUUUCCAGGCUCACAAUUUUAUGCAUAAAGAAACUGUUUAAGGGGCCACGACCAUAUUCAUGUUGCCACAACAACAUUGAAUCGACGUUAUGAGUGGGUGGGUUUUUAUGUGAACUUAUCAACGUUAUCUCGUGGCAAUUUGAAAAUUAAUGCCAAUAAAUUACAGUAAACCUCCGACUAUAAGCCCGGACCUCGAAUAUAAGCCCCCCCCCACAUAUACAAACGGUCACCUCAUUCCAAAUAUAAGCCCGCCCCCCCCCCGAAUAUAAGCCCACCCGAAUAUAAGCCCUCCAAAUAUAAGUCCCCUGAAUAUAAGCCCAGUUGCCCACUACGUUACUCAACAUUGGUCACAUUGUUUUUAAUAUACUAUAGCAGAGAACUGUUUUUGAACAGAUGACAAUAUUUAAAAACAUUAUUGUCAUUGUCUUUAUAGACCACUAUGUGAAUCAAAACGCGUUAUAAAUACAUGUUUAUUUUCCUGUUUAUGACUGACUUGUUUAUGUCUGACUUGUUUGUUACGAACACAAAAAAUCGUCCAUGUAUAAGCCCCCCCCCCGUAUAUAAGCCCACCCUUGUAUAAGCCCAUCAGAAAUCGCUUACGAAAGUAUAUAAGCCCAGGGCUUAUAGUCGGAGGUUUACGGUAUCAAUAAUUGACGUUAAAUUAUUAAUUUACAAUAAAUUAUCUACAAAUUAACUUGGACUGUAAAAUAAUACCAAUUUUCAUUUUGUAGCCAAUCACUCACCACAGAAAAUUACAAAUUGAGUUGCAUUAUGCCCUGAUAUGCUCUACUUUAUACACCCUUUUCAUAGAUGGCUACCGAUAAAAAUUAUUUAUUGUGCAUAUAAAUUGGCCCAACUAGCCUCGUUUCUGGGUAGAAAUUCCUUUGAAAUCUUAACAUGAGUACGAGGCUAGUUGGGCCAAUUUAUAUGCACAUGAAAGAAUUUUUAAUCGGCAGCCAUUUAUGAAAAGGGUGUAUUAUUUUACUUUAUUUAAUGCCAGACUAUUUAACUCUGUCUGAUGCCAGACAAUUUUACUCAUAAUGGGUUAAUUUAAUUUUACUCUUAAUGGGUUACCUGUCAUAUCUGCCCAUGUGUCUAUAGUUACCCCCAUCAUGUCACAUUGCACCCUACUUUAUUAUUUUACUUUGUCUAACGCCAGACAAUUUUACUUGUCAACUGGCUCCCGCUUAAUGGGUUAGAGUACCAUUCAGCAAAAAUUCUAUUGGUUACAAAUGACCUAUACCGGUAACAUAAACUUUCAUUUGGAUUGUGACUGAUAUAAACUAUACUGAAAUGAUUCAACUGAAUCAAAGUAUGUAAUUGUGAGAAGUAUUUACAAAAGUAGGUUGUUUAAUUACAGCAUAAAAAAAAAGAAAACCAUUCAAAGAACUUCUUAUUUUUCAGGUAGUCGAACGACCUACUAUUUGCAACUGCGGUUAGUGUAUAGUUUAGUUUGCUCACGAAUAUUUACAAAAAAACUUAUUCUCUAGAAGAAGGCAGAGCUAGGGUGAAUCCUCAACAAGGAAAACAUUGAGAAAGAGAUCGGAGAGUUGUGGCAACUAAAGAAGCCAGAUAUUUUGGCAGCAUUGAAGAAGAUGAAUUGUCAUGCUGUCAACAAUAUACUCAAGUUGGAUGAUUGUGAAUUGACAUGUGAAAUACGUAGAUUUCACCGCAACUCAUGUGAGAAAGGUGUGGUAAAAUCUUGCAUUUUUUUAUUAGUGAUAAGUAUGGUACCUGUAUGAUUGAUUAUAGUGGUUUUGAAGAAACAAUUGUUUAGUAUCCGUACGUUUAUAUUAUGGUCAUGGAUUAAACGAUUAACAUAGAUUAACAUACCUAUUCUAUAUAGAAGUUAAUGUAUAUGUGUAUACAGUAUAUACUGCACAGAAAUUUAUUCUAUGUUAAAACCUUUUUGUAGAGUUAUCAGGAUGCUCAACCCCUUGUCUAUUGGCCACUGAACCUCUGGAUGAGAUAAGUUUGAUUUCAUUGAUUGCAGAGGGAAUGGUUGUAAAACAUUCAGAUUGUACAAUAUAGCCAACAACCCGCAGUUUAUGAUAAUGGCAAUGAUGAUAUUGUCUCAUUAAAGGGUAUUGGCAACAAAAAAUGUUAUUGUUUCAUCUGAAAGAGCAUGAAAAAAUAAGCCGAUUGGCCGUUUAAUGCUCUAUUCUAUCUCAUCUACUUCCGAAGUUAUACGCAAAAAUGUCCAAAAUAUAAGUUGCUGAUUCAGCGCAACGUGUGACGUCAUUGGUUGGGUAAGUAUGUUUAAUGAAUACUAAACUGAAGCAUAGCUCAGUUAUUAUAGACCCAAAUCAAAUGAAAUUUUGCAUACUGAUUGUACAUGAUGAGACGCAUUGAAAAACACUUCUAAUUUUGUUGCCAAGGUAACAAUGUCGUUCCCAGGCCCCUUUCGCCAAUUUUAUAAAACAGCUUUAUUCAUGGUACUUAUAAGAAUAAAAUAAUAUCAUAAGUAUGUGUACCAUACCUAUGCAUGCCAAAAGUUUACUUGGAUGAUAAUAAUUCGAAAAUGACAUACACAUAGAUAAAUG
rnacentral:lncRNA from 1 species